UACGGGGGGGGCAAGCGUUGUUCGGAAUUACUGGGCGUAAAGGGCUCGUAGUCGGCCAACUAAGUCAGACGUGAAAUCCCUCGGCUUAACCGGGGAACGGCCUCUGAUACUGGCUGACUUGAGUUCGGGAGAGGGAUGCGGAAUUCCAGGUGUAGCGGUGAAAUGCGUAGAUAUCUGGAGGAACACCGGUGGCGAAGGCGGCAUCCUGGACCGACACUGACGCUGAGGAGCGAAAGCCAGGGGAGCAAACGGG
rnacentral:rRNA from 1 species